rnacentral:rRNA from 1 species
UACGUAGGGGGCAAGCGUUGUCCGGAUUUACUGGGCGUAAAGGGUGCGUAGGCGGACAUUUAAGUCAGAUGUGAAAUACCCGAGCUUAACUUGGGUGCUGCAUUUGAAACUGGGUGUCUAGAGUGCAGGAGAGGUAAGUGGAAUUCCUAGUGUAGCGGUGAAAUGCGUAGAGAUUAGGAAGAACACCAGUGGCGAAGGCGACUUGCUGGACUGUAACUGACGCUGAGGCAUGAAAGCGUGGGGAGCAAACAGG